GGGUCUUAUCGACCCGGGAGACAGUGUCAGGUGGGCAGUUUGACUGGGGCGGUCGCCUCCUAAAGUGUAACGGAGGCGCCCAAAGGUUCCCUCAGAAUGGUUGGAAAUCAUUCGUAGAGUGCAAAGGCAUAAGGGAGCUUGACUGCGAGACCUACAAGUCGAGCAGGGACGAAAGUCGGGCUUAGUGAUCCGGUGGUUCCGCAUGGAAGGGCCAUCGCUCAACGGAUAAAAGCUACCCCGGGGAUAACAGGCUUAUCUCCCCCAAGAGUCCACAUCGACGGGGAGGUUUGGCACCUCGAUGUCGGCUCAUCGCAUCCUGGGGCUGUAGUCGGUCCCAAGGGUUGGGCUGUUCGCCCAUUAAAGCGGUACGCGAGCUGGGUUCAGAACGUCGUGAGACAGUUCGGUCCCUAUCCGUCGUGGGCGUAGGAAAUUUGAGAGGAGCUGUCCUUAGUACGAGAGGACCGGGAUGGACGCACCGCUGGUGUACCAGUUGUUCUGCCAAGGGCAUAGCUGGGUAGCUAUGUGCGGAAGGGAUAAGUGCUGAAAGCAUCUAAGCAUGAAGCCCCCCUCAAGAUGAGAUUUCCCAUAGCGUAAGCUAGUAAGAUCCCUGAAAGAUGAUCAGGU
rnacentral:rRNA from 1 species